rnacentral:lncRNA from 1 species
ACAUUUAAUUUCAAGAUAUUGUACUUUAAUUUCAUAACAUUUUAUAUUUACUUUUUGUUAAAAAAAUUUACUUAGAUAUAUUUUGGCUCACGUGCUAUUAAUGGCUCACGGGCCGCGUGCUAGCCCACUAAUGAACCGUGCUUAUUACGUGCUUUUUCGCGUGCCGUGCUUUAAGGCCCGCGUGCCUAAAAUUCUAAGCCCGGCACGGCCCACGUGCGUGCCGUGCCAUGCCUCGUGCCUCACCGAAACGUGCUCGUGCCGUGCCCAUGCCGUGCCACGUGCCGCCCGGCCCAUUGGCCAUCUUUAGGCCCAUUAUUUGUGUGGUUGUUGUUGAGUGUGUAUGUUACAUUAAUUGUAACAUAGGGGCUCCCAUUGUUUACAGGUGCAUGCAAAUUUGAAAUACCAAUAAAACCCCUGUAUUUAGAUACUGCGAUUAGGGGUAAUGGUGUAAGUUCGGGGCACUUUUAUUCAUCGAUACACGCACAAAGAUCUUCUGAUUUGUGCACCGGAUAUAAUAAAUUUUUGCUGUGCUUGACAGAAUUCUACCCAUAAUUCCUUUACGGAUCGAGUCACGGCGAGGCGGAGAGCAGAUCGGUGUGUGGUUCCGCUCCCCCGUCUCCUCCCCCAUAUAAAUGUACAGCAUUUGGCCAUAGAAACUAAAGCACAAUCUUCUCAGCUUCAACCGUUAAAAGCGUUUUACAGUAGUUAGGUUCUCUGGUUUCACGACAUUGUGAUGUGCUGUGCUGUGUAAGCAGGCAACGCGUGUGUUCAUAUAUCAUAAUAGAGGGUUGACAUUUUGUUCACUGUCGCGUAGGUUGUGUAGUACGUGAUAAGACUCGUGUCACUAUAGGGAUGGCAAUGGGGAGGGGAGGGGAGGGGACUAAUCUCCCCCUAUCCAUCCCCGAUAUUUUGCGUAUGUCCUCGUCCCCUUCCCGUCCCCGUCAGAAUUACUUGAGAGAAUCCACAUCCCCUCCCCGAAUAAUAACAGGGGAUCCCUAAGUGUCCCCGAUCCUCGAAUAACUAAUAUAUUUUUUGUUUUCGAUUUUGAGUUAAUCAUAUUAAAAUAAAAAAUUCAAAUAAAAGUAAAGUUUGAAAUAUAUCUUACAUUAAUAUCCAUUACAAAAGUCACAUACAUUAAAUUAGUAAGUAACGCAACAUGUAAAAGAUACAAACUUAUUUUACAAACUAUCGUGAAUAAAUUAAUAGUCUAAUACGAAAUUGUUACAAAUAAAAUAAAAUUUAGAUUCAAAAUUAACUUUUUCAAUGGUGGCGUGACACUUUAU